GGAGCAAUAAAUGCAUCUAGUUUUGUUGUAUCUAGCUCCCUCUUAGUCCCCAAUACUCUAAAUGCUUCUUCUUCCAUACAUUUUAUUAUACGAUCCUUUAUACGGUGAUCAAUGAUAGGAUAAAAUGCCGUCUUUAUUUGUCCUUUCAUUAUGUGCCGUUUAGCAUAUCCCUAAAAAUAUUAUGAACUGAUGUCCUACCAGAUUUGGGACUUGUAUCUAUUUCUCUCCAAACUGUCUCAUCGGGCCCAGUUUCGAUACAUUGGUUCUCUACAUCAAUUUCACCCUUUGCUGUCAACGAUAAUUUCUUUUCUUUUUGUUCUUACGUAAACGCUUAUGUAUAAUAUUCAACUCUGAUUCGAUUGUAAAUAGCUUUUCAUGUGUCUCCAUGUCGUUUUCAGUUGCAGAAUUUUUUUGUUCAUCGCACACUAAAAAGUCUUCUUCUACGUCCGUUAUUUUUUUUUUAAAGUCUUGACAUUUCUAGGAUAAAUAUUUAUCACAGAAUAAUACCAUGUACGGAAUACAAAAUUAUUGUCAAAUUUGAUAUGUUUUACUUUUCCUUUUAUAACAACUUUGCACAAAACGCUCUGAGAUGCUUUCUGUCUGAGUUUUAGAAAUAACAAUAUUGGCCGUUCUCCACCAACGGUUACUCGAGGGUGGAGAUGGGAAAGCGUUUCCCGUGUUUUAUCGCAAUGAGCAAUAACCCUAAAAAACUUCUUGACUUUUAAAAUGUUUGUAACAAUUUAAAUUUUAUGGCAGUUCCUUAGGAUUAUUAUGCGCCUGUGUUGAUAUGUUUUGACAGCUGGUGGCCAUCUUCAUCGAGGGAUGGAUUAUGUUUUAUGACAAGAUUACUGGUGUAACAGCUGUUAUUAUUUGUUAUUACUGAUUUUGUCCAUCAUUUGACCUUGAGAUAGCCUUUUCUUUGUACUGAUUGCAUUUAUUUUAAGAAUAACUAAGAUAUUUCGUCGGGCGGUUAAAAUGACCGCUCACGAUAGGCAAGGCAGAGUACAAAUUUUUCUCAGAAAGUAAAAGAGCAAACUAAAAGUAAAUACCGAAAAAUAUAUUGUAUACAUGUUUUAG